GACGAACGCUGGCGGCGUGCUUAACACAUGCAAGUCGAACGGAAAGGCCCUGCUUUUGUGGGGUGCUCGAGUGGCGAACGGGUGAGUAACACGUGAGUAACCUGCCCUUGACUUUGGGAUAACUUAAGGAAACUGGGGCUAAUACCGGAUAGGAGCUCCUGCUGCAUGGUGGGGGUUGGAAAGUUUCGGCGGUUGGGGAUGGACUCGCGGCUUAUCAGCUUGUUGGUGGGGUAGUGGCUUACCAAGGCUUUGACGGGUAGCCGGCCUGAGAGGGUGACCGGCCACAUGGGGACUGAGAUACGGCGCAGACUCCAACGGGAGGCAGCAGUGGGGAAUAUGGCACAAUGGGCGGGAGCCGGAUGCAGCGGCGCCGCGUGCGGGAUGACGGCCUUCGGGUUGUAAACCGCUUUCGCCUGUGACGAAGCGGGAGUGACGGUAAUGGGUAAAGAAGCACCGGCUAACUACGUG
rnacentral:rRNA from 1 species